UACGAAGGGGCUAGCGUUGUUCGGAUUUACUGGGCGUAAAGCGCACGUAGGCGGAUCGUUAAGUCGGGGGUGAAAUCCUGGAGCUCAACUCCAGAACUGCCUUUGAUACUGAAGAUCUUGAGUCCGGGAGAGGUGAGUGGAACUGCGAGUGUAGAGGUGAAAUUCGUAGAUAUUCGCAAGAACACCAGUGGCGAAGGCGGCUCACUGGCCCGGUACUGACGCUGAGGCACGAAAGCGUGGGGAGCAAACAGG
rnacentral:rRNA from 1 species